CACGCCCUAAACGAUGCGAACUGGAUGUUGGGCUCAACUUGGAGCUCAGUAUCGAAGCUAACGCGUUAAGUUCGCCGCCUGGGGAGUACGGUCGCAAGACUGAAACUCAAAGGAAUUGACGGGGGCCCGCACAAGCGGUGGAGUAUGUGGUUUAAUUCGAUGCAACGCGAAGAACCUUACCUGGCCUUGACAUGCACGGAAUCCUUUAGAGAUAGAGGAGUGCCUUCGGGAACCGUGACACAGGUGC
rnacentral:rRNA from 1 species